rnacentral:rRNA from 1 species
CUGUAAGUAGGGCGUGAAAGCUCCCGGCUCAACUGGGAGAGGCCGUUCUAAACUGCAGAACUAGAGGAUGGUAGAGGGAGGUGGAAUUCCAGGUGUAGCGGUGGAAUGCGCAGAUAUCUGGAGGAACACCAGUGGCGAAAGCGGCCUCCUGGACCAUUCCUGACACUCAGACGCGAAAGCUAGGGUAGCAAACGGGAUUAGAGACCCCGGUAGUCCUAGCCCUAAACGAUGUAGACUAGACGUCGGUGGUGUAAUAGCUGUCGGUGUCCAAGCUAACGCGAUAAGUCUACCGCCUGGGGACUACGGCCGCAAGGUUAAAACUCAAAGGAAUUGACGGGUCCCCGCACAAGCAGCGGAGCGUGUGGUUUAAUUCGUUGCUACACGAAGAACCUUACCUGGGUUUGACAUAGCAGUGGUAGGGAAGAGAAAUCGGACCGACCCUUCGGGGAGCUGUUACAGGUGUUGCAUGGCUGUCGUCAGCUCGUGUCGUGAGAUGUUCGGUUAAGUCCGCUAACGAGCGCAACCCGCGUUGUGUGUUAUAUGUGUCACACAAUACCGCCGGUAUUAAGCCGGAGGAAGGUGCGGAUGACGUCAAGUCAGCAUGACCUUUAUAUCCAGGGCUACACACACGCUACAAUGGACAGUACAACAGGUUGCCAAGCCGCGAGGCGGAGCCAAUCCUCUAAAGCUGUCCUCAGUUCAGAUUGCAGGCUGCAACUCGCCUGCAUGAAGUUGGAGUUGCUAGUAACCGCAGGUCAGCUAUACUGCGGUGAAUACGUUCCCGGGGAUUGUACACACCGCCCGUCAAGUCAUGGAAGCUGGCAACACCUGAAGCCGGUAUCCUAACCCGUAAGGGAGGGAGCUGUCAAAGGUGGGGUCGGUGACUGGGACUAAGUCGUAACAAGGUA